AACCAAGGAUGCGAUGAUUCCACCAAAUGAUACAAGUGGUAUCACCUUUGAAACCGGUUCAUUUUAUUUCUGAGGUC